AUGGCUGACCAACUGACUGAAGAGCAGAUUGCAGAGUUCAAAGAAGCUUUCUCACUAUUUGACAAGGAUGGAGAUGGGACAGUAACAACAAAGAAGCUAGGAGUAGUGAUGAGGUCCUUGGGACAAAACCCCACAGAAGCAGAGCUACAGGACAUGAUCAAUGAAGUAGAUGUGGAUGGUAAUGGCACAAUUGACUUCCCUGAAUUUCUGACAAUGAUGGCAAGAAAAAUGAAAGACACGGACAGUGAAGAAGAAAUUAGAGAAGCAUUCUGUGUGUUUGAUAAGGAUGGCAAUGAGUAUAUAAGUGCAGCAGAUCUUCGCCAUGUGAUGGCAAACCUUGGAGAGAAGUUGACAGAUGAAGAGGUUGAUGAAAUGAUCAGGGAAGCAGACAUGGGGACAGUCAGGUAAACUACGAAGAGUUUGUACAAAUGUUGACAGCGAAGUGAAGACACUGUACAGAAUGUGUUAAAUUUCUUGUACAAAAUUGUUUGUUUGCCUUUUCUUUGUUUGUAACUUAUCUGUAAAAUGUUUCCCCCCUACUGUCAAAAAAUAUGCAUGUAUAGUAAUUAGGACUUCAUUCCUCCACGUUUUCUUCCCUUAUCCUACUGUCAUUGUCCUUAAACCUUAUUUUAGAAAAUUGAUCAAGUAACAUGUUGUAUGUGGCUUACUCUGGAUAUAUCUAAGCCCUUCUGCACUCUAAACUUAGAUGGAGUUGGUCAGAUGAGGGAACAUCUGGGUUAUGCCUUUUUUAAAGUAGCUUUUAGGAACUGUCAGCAUGUUGUUGUUGAAGUGUGGAGUUGUAAUUCUGCAUGGACUGUGGAGAGUCAACAAUACGUACUUAAAAGUUGCACUAUUGCAAAACAGGUGUUUUAUCCAGGUACUCGGACACCAUUUUUUUGUACUGCUGGCAUUGUACCAGAAACAUUUUAUUUUAUUGUCACUUGCUUUUUAAACAUUGUUUAGCCACUUAAAGAAAAUCUGCUUAUGACACAAUUUGCCUCAAAUCCAUUCCAAGUUGUAUAUUUGUUUUCCAAUAAAAAAAAAU